rnacentral:rRNA from 1 species
UACGUAGGGUGCGAGCGUUAAUCGGAAUUACUGGGCGUAAAGCGUGCGCAGGCGGCGCGUUAAGACAGGUGUGAAAGCCCCGAGCUUAACUUGGGAAUUGCGCUUGUGACUGGCGUGCUGGAGUGUGGCAGAGGGAGGUGGAAUUCCACGUGUAGCAGUGAAAUGCGUAGAGAUGUGGAGGAACACCGAUGGCGAAGGCGGCCUACUGGGCCAGCACUGACGCUGAGGCGCGAAAGCGUGGGGAGCAAACAGG